ensembl:snRNA U6 U6 spliceosomal RNA
GUGCUCGCUUCGGUGGCACAUAUACUAAAAUUGGAACGAUGCAGAGAAGAUUAGCAUGGCCCCUGUGCAAGGAUGACACGCAAAUUCGCGAAGUGUUCCACAUUUUU